rnacentral:misc_RNA from 1 species
UACUAUAGAAAGAAAUAUAAGAGAAUAUGAUUAGAUAUUCUAGAAGUUGGGUAAGUAAGGAAUUGGAGGGAAAUGUGGAUGAGUUGUUAGGGAGCCAGCUGUUCUGUAGUUGGCAAGUGAGCUGUUUUGUAGUUGGCAAGUGAGCUGUUCUACAGUUGGCAAGAUAAGACAGCUGAGGCAGUUAUGAGAUAGUUGUUGUAUAAAUAACUCAGCUAUAUAUUUCUUGUAUUCAUUCCAGAAUUUACAAGAAAUACAAUAACUACUCUCUAUU